rnacentral:RNase_P_RNA from 1 species
UCAGAUGUUCGGCUAAUCGCCCGCGUUUAUACGCGAGAGGAAAGUCCGGGCAGCGUAGGGAAAGACAGUUGUUAACGGCAACCGAGGGUAACCUCAGGGAAAGUGCCACAGAAACGAUACCGCCGCCGUGCUUCGCACCGGCAAGUUAAAAAGUUAAAAGUUCCUAAAGUUUGAAAUUCAUAUGACUUUCAAACUUUAUACUUUGCAAACUUUCGACUUGUCAGGGCGGAGCGCUGACGGUAAGGAUGAAACGAGUGGGGUAAGAGCCCACAGUUCUGCACGGUGACGUGUAGAAGAGGUAAACCCUGUCCGCUGCAAGGAGAUAAGUCCCAUCAAGGUUUCCCGCCGGGGCUCGUCAACAAAAACCGCUUGAGCUUAGGAGCAAUCCUAAGCCUAGAUAGAUGAUUAGCAGGAGCUGGCCCUGGUCUGAACAUUAAAAAGCAAAAUAGUUGCUGACGAGUUUUAGGUUGAACUUAUCGUAAAGAGGCAUAUCUAAAGAUAUGUUGACGCACGAUAGGUACAGCAUGAAGCUUGGACCUGCUAUUUGCUAAAUGUGCAGGCCUGGGCUAGUUCUAAACAGAACCCGGCUUAUAGAUCAUCUGGCCUA